GAUGGACGCUGGCGGCGUGCCUAAUACAUGCAAGUCGAGCGAACAGACGAGGAGCUUGCUCCUUCGACGUUAGCGGCGGACGGGUGAGUAACACGUAGGUAACCUACCUAUAAGACUGGGAUAACUUCGGGAAACCGGAGCUAAUACCGGAUAAUAUUUCGAACCGCAUGGUUCGAUAGUGAAAGAUGGCUUUGCUAUCACUUAUAGAUGGACCUGCGCCGUAUUAGCUAGUUGGUAAGGUAACGGCUUACCAAGGCAACGAUACGUAGCCGACCUGAGAGGGUGAUCGGCCACACUGGAACUGAGACACGGUCCAGACUCCUACGGGAGGCGGCAGUAGGGAAUCUUCCGCAAUGGGCGAAAGCCUGACGGAGCAACGCCGCGUGAGUGAUGAAGGUCUUCGGAUCGUAAAACUCUGUUAUUAGGGAAGAACAAACGUGUAAGUAACUGUGCACGUCUUGACGGUACCUAAUCAGAAAGCCACGGCUAACUACGUG
rnacentral:rRNA from 1 species